GACGAACCGUGCGAACGUUAUUCGGAAUCACUGGGCUUAAAGCGCGUGUAGGCGGGCCGGCACGUCCGGUGCUGAAAGCCCCGGCUCAACCGGGGAACGGGCACGGAUACGACUGGCCUGGAGGGGGUAGGGGACCUGGAACUUCCGGUGGGAGCGGUGAAAUGCGUUGAGAUCGGAAGGAACGCCCGUGGCGAAAGCGAGGUCCUGGGCCCUUACUGACGCUGAGACGCGAAAGCCAGGGGAGCGAACGGG
rnacentral:rRNA from 1 species